rnacentral:rRNA from 1 species
CACGGAAUUAGCCGGUCCUUAUUCGCAGGGUACAUGCAACAGAGCACACGUGCUCCUUUUUAUUCCCCUGUAAAAGCAGUUUACAACCCAUAGGGCCGUCUUCCUGCACGCUACUUGGCUGGUUCAGGCUUUCGCCCAUUGACCAAUAUUCCUCACUGCUGCCUCCCGUAGGAGUUUGGACCGUGUCUCAGUUCCAAUGUGGGGGACCUUCCUCUCAGAACCCCUACUGAUCGAUGCCUUGGUGGGCCGUUACCCGCAACAAGCUAAUCAGACGCAUCCCCAUCCAUAACCGAAAUUCUUUGCUCUAUAAAGAUGCCUAAUAAAGAGAACAUAAGGUAUUAGACCGCAUUUCUACGGAGUAUCCCUUUGUUAUGGGAAGGUUGGAUACGCGUUACUCACCCGUGCGCCGGUCGACGACAAAAAGCAGCAAGCUGCUUCCCCGUUCCCUCGACUUGCAUGUGUUAAGCCUGUAGCUAGCGUUCAUCCUGAGCCAGGAUCAAACUCU